GGAGGGGCGGGGAAGGCGGGCGGUCGCUGUGGGGAGGCGUUGGGCCCUUGUUGUGUCGGGGCGCGGGGCCCGUCCCCCCCCUUCUCCGCCGGUUCGCGGCUGCACAAAGACGCACAGGGCCCGUGUGAGUAAGACCAGGAUGGAAGAGUCCAAUGGGGACCUUCCCAUCCAGAGAGACACCAUCCUAUCCAAGUUGUGCUGUGAUCACGUCGCCGUAACAAACCUGCACUGAACUUGGUGGGCAUUUGGAAAACUGUAUUUGCAGCUGUUCCUGGGCCUACGUCAAAGACCCC
rnacentral:lncRNA from 1 species